rnacentral:ncRNA from 1 species
GUUGUCACAAUAGUAAUUCAACUCAGUACGAGAGGAACUGUUGAUUCAGAUAAUUGGUAUUUGCCCUUGGUUGAGCAGCCAGUGGGGCGAAGCUACCAUCUGUUAGAUUAUAGCUGAACGCCUCUAAGUUAGAAUCUAUGCUAGAAAGUGACAAU